GUGCUUGUUUCAGCAGCACAUACACUAAAAAUGGAAUGAUGCAGAGAAGAUUAGCAAGAAUGACAUGCAAAUUCAUGAAGCAUUCCAUUAAAAA
rnacentral:snRNA from 1 species